UAUAAAUGCUUCGCUCUCUCCUCAAAUUUCCUGACCCAUGGCUGCCUUGCCUCAGGCUGGGCUCAGAAAUUUAUGAGGGUUGCUGUCACCACCACCAGAUGUGUUCCCUGCACUUUGGACUUCCUAGCCUCUGAACUAAUCUUUGCUCCAAAUACUGGAAGGCAGCACCCACAGAGGCAGGUACAACACCUUCUACUAGCAUGAAUGAAGCCCCUCCUUUCACGUAACUCCACAUCAUGUCACUAGAAGGGUGAUCUGGAAACUCUGUUACCAGAACUUGAGGCAAGUGCACCGUGAUCACCAUGGGACAAGUAUGUUUCAAAACUCAUCUGUGGCCCUGGAUGCCAGUUUUUGACUAACAGAGGACUUUUGCUAUGUCUGGGUGAUGUCUUCAAAGAAGGUGAAUUGGGAACCACCCAGGGUCCUGAUGUGUGGAUCUGGGGACCAGACCCUCCUCCCACAAUCAGGCACACCACCAAUGUCAUGGGGCCUGCCUGGCGUCCUGAGGCAUGGAGCUGGGAGCCACUAGCAACUAGAGAAAAGGAAAGCCGUCUGCAGAGAGAAAGAAGGAGACAAGUAGCUGGAUAGAGCACUUGAAGAGAGCUGUACAUGGAGCACAAUGAUUAUAUCUACAAAUACAGAAUCACUUUUGAACCCCACAGAGACCAUCGGAAUGGUUUCAGAAUUGACCCUACCCAGUGGUAGCUAAUAGCACUGAUACCUCACAUGAAAUAAAAAACAUAUUUAAAAAAUGA